rnacentral:rRNA from 1 species
UACCAGCACCCCGAGUGGUCGGGACGUUUAUUGGGCCUAAAGCAUCCGUAGCCGGUUCUACAAGUCUUCCGUUAAAUCCACCUGCUCAACAGAUGGGCUGCGGAAGAUACUAUGGAGCUAGGAGGCGGGAGAGGCAAGCGGUACUCGAUGGGUAGGGGUAAAAUCCGUUGAUCCAUUGAAGACCACCAGUGGCGAAGGCGGCUUGCCAGAACGCGCUCGACGGUGAGGCACGAAAGCCAGGGGAGCAAACGGG